UAAGGAAUAUUGGACAAUGGUCGCAAGACUGAUCCAGCCAUGCCGCGUGCAGGAAGACGGCCCUAUGGGUUGUAAACUGCUUUUGUACCAGAGAAAACCUAUCUACGUGUAGAUAGCUGAUAGUAUGGUAAGAAUAAGCAUCGGCUAACUUCGUGCCAGCAGCCGCGGUAAGACGAAGGAUGCAAGCGUUAUCCGGAUUCAUUGGGUUUAAAGGGUGCGUAGGCGGGCUUGUAAGUCAGUGGUGAAAUCUCUCAGCUUAACUGAGAAACUGCCAUUGAUACUGCAGGCCUAGAGUAUAGAUGACGUUGGCGGAAUAUGACAUGUAGUGGUGAAAUACUUAGAUAUGUCAUAGAACACCGAUCGCGAAGGCAGCUAACGAAACUAUAACUGACGCUGAGGCACGAAAGUGCGGGGAUCAAACA
rnacentral:rRNA from 1 species